UGGGGAAUAUUGCACAAUGGGCGCAAGCCUGAUGCAGCCAUGCCGCGUGUGUGAAGAAGGCCUUCGGGUUGUAAAGCACUUUCAGCGGGGAGGAAGGCGAUAAGGUUAAUAACCUUGUCGAUUGACUUCACCCGCAGAAGAAGCACCGGCUAACUCCGUGCCAGCAGCCGCGGUAAUACGGAGGGUGCAAGCGUUAAUCGGAAUUACUGGGCGUAAAGCGCACGCAGGCGGUCUGUCAAGUCGGAUGUGAAAUCCCUGGGCUCAACCUGGGAACUGCAUUCGAAACUGGCAGGCUAGAGUCUUGUAGAGGGGGGUAGAAUUCCAGGUGUAGCGGUGAAAUGCGUAGAGAUCUGGAGGAAUACCGGUGGCGAAGGCGGCCCCCUGGACAAAGACUGACGCUCAGGUGCGAAAGCGUGGGGAGCAAACAGG
rnacentral:rRNA from 1 species